rnacentral:rRNA from 1 species
UACGUAGGGGGCUAGUGUUGUCCGGAUUUAUUGGGCGUAAAGAGCGUGUAGGCGGCCAGGUACGUCUGCUGUGAAAACUCGAGGCUCAACCUCGAGACGUCGGCGGAAACCAUCUGGCUAGAGUCCGGAAGAGGAGAGUGGAAUUCCUGGUGUAGCGGUGAAAUGCGCAGAUAUCAGGAAGAACACCAAUGGCGAAGGCAGCUCUCUGGGACGGUACUGACGCUGAGACGCGAAAGCGUGGGGAGCGAACAGG